rnacentral:rRNA from 1 species
UACUCCUACGGGAGGCAGCAGUGGGGAAUAUUGGACAAUGGGGGGAACCCUGAUCCAGCCAUGCCGCGUGUGUGAAGAAGGCCUUUUGGUUGUAAAGCACUUUAAGCGAGGAGGAGGCUACCGAGAUUAAUACUCUUGGAUAGUGGACGUUACUCGCAGAAUAAGCACCGGCUAACUCUGUGCCAGCAGCCGCGGUAAU